GGCGGAGGCAUGCUUGGCGCCGGCUGGGCCGAGGCCAGUAGCGGCCAGGCGACCGCGAGCACCAAAAACACCACCGCCGCCGCCGUCAAGCUCAUCCUCGUCAUGGCCGGCCGGGCCGCGCGUUCCUGCAUGCAACGAAGUGUUGCUUAUGAUAGGCCUGCAUCUUUGUUCCAGAUCUCUUUUGAAAUAUAUCUUGGUUUCAGAUGGUGGUCAAUUCAUCGCAUUAUAUUGCGGAUGUAAGGUGGCUGCAGCUCGAGACCUUCACAUCACACCCCGGCACAGAACCGUUUGCAUCAGAUUCUGACGUGACCUGCGGCUUGCUGCUGUUGUUCAUCGCAGCAGCACAAUCUGGUGGCACGUCAGGUUCGUUGAAUCGCCCAUUGCAUUGGCCGUUGUUGUGCAGGCACUAUUUGGAAAGCAACAAUGCCGCUGCAAUCUCUAAUGAACUGGUACCAAGGGAUACGGAUACCCAUGGGUCCCCUCAACCAGGAUACUGGCCGGAUCUAACAAGUGAGCCUACUCGAUCAGGGCGUGCGGGUCAAGGAUGUGAAGAUACUUGGAGUACAAGGUAAGGAAGGUCAGAUGAUUCAAGAUCAGCUCGGAUAUUGCAGGACACGGGUUGUAGCCGAACUCUGCUAGGUUUCCAUGUAAUAGCCGACUAGUCCAGAUCCAAACCGACUUGUAAUCCCUCACUCAGCAGCCAAUAUAAGCGGCCAGGGGCGCCUCCUGAGAGCAACCAAUCCAAUCCCAACAAUCUCAUCUAUCUCGAUUUACAAGCAAUACAAACCACCAAACAUACAGGACGUAGGGUAUUACCCUCCGGAGGUUCGAACCUGUCUAAACCCUUUGUGUCCCUCGUGUUCUCGUGAUCACCUUCGAGUUAUUGGUCUUGCGAUCCCCUCUAUCUAUAAAUUAACCACUUGGGUAACCCUCUU